rnacentral:rRNA from 1 species
CCUACGGGAGGCAGCAGUGAGGAAUAUUGGUCAAUGGGCGCGAGCCUGAACCAGCCAAGUAGCGUGAAGGAUGACUGCUCUACGGGUUGUAAACUUCGUUUAUAAAGGAAUAAAGUGAGGCACGUGUGCCUUUUUGUCUGUACUUUCUACAUAAGAAUAGGCUAACUCCGGGCCAGCAGCCGCGGUAAUACGGAGGUUCCUAGCGUUAUCCGGAUUUAUUGGGUUUAAAGGGAGCGUAGAUGGGUUGUUAAGUCAGUUGUGAAAGUUUGCGGCUCAACCGUAAAAUUGCAAUUGAUACUGGCAGGCUUGAGUGCAGUUGAGGUAGGCGGAAUUCGUGGUGUAGCGGUGAAAGGCUUAGAUAUCACGAAGAACACCGAUUGCGAAGGCAGCCUACUAAACUGCCACUGACAUUGAUGCUCGAAAGUGUGGGUAUCAAACAGGAUUAGAUACCCGGGUAGUC